GACGAACGCUGGCGGCGUGCCUAAUACAUGCAAGUAGAACGCUGAAGGAGGAGCUUGCUCUUCUGGAUGAGUUGCGAACGGGUGAGUAACGCGUAGGUAACCUGCCUGGUAGCGGGGGAUAACUAUUGGAAACGAUAGCUAAUACCGCAUAAGAGUAGAUGUUGCAUGACAUUUGCUUAAAAGGUGCAAUUGCAUCACUACCAGAUGGACCUGCGUUGUAUUAGCUAGUUGGUGGGGUAACGGCUCACCAAGGCGACGAUACAUAGCCGACCUGAGAGGGUGAUCGGCCGCACUGGGACUGAGACACGGCCCAGACUCCUACGGGAGGCAGCAGUAGGGAAUCUUCGGCAAUGGACGGAAGUCUGACCGAGCAACGCCGCGUGAGUGAAGAAGGUUUUCGGAUCGUAAAGCUCUGUUGUAAGAGAAGAACGAGUGUGAGAGUGGAAAGUCCACACUGUGACGGUAUCUUACCAGAAAGGGACGGCUAACUACGUG
rnacentral:rRNA from 1 species